rnacentral:rRNA from 1 species
CCUACGGGGGGCAGCAGUGAGGAAUUUUCUGCAAUGGGCGAAAGCCUGACAGAGCAAUACCGCGUGAGGGAAGAAGGCUUACUGAGUUGUAAACCUCUGUUACCUAAGGAGGAAGAUCUGACGUUACUUAGGAGACGAAGCAUCGGCUAACUCCGUGCCAGCAGCCGCGGUAAGACGGAGGAUGCAAGUGUUAUCCGGAAUUACUGGGCGUAAAGCGUCUGCAGGUGGUUUCUUAAGUCCACUGUUAAACCUUGAGGCUCAACCUCAAUUCAGCAUUGGA